rnacentral:rRNA from 1 species
UACGUAGGUGGCGAGCGUUGUCCGGAUUUACUGGGCGUAAAGAGCGCGCAGGCGGCUGGUCAAGUCCGAUGUGAAAGCUCCCGGCUUAACUGGGAAAUUGCAUCGGAAACUGAUCGGCUGGAAGGUGGGAGAGGGUAGCGGAAUUCCUGGUGUAGCGGUGAAAUGCGCAGAUAUCAGGAAGAACACCAAUGGCGAAGGCAGCUCUCUGGGACGGUACUGACGCUGAGACGCGAAAAGCGUGGGGGAGCGAACAGGG